AUUACCGGACUUAUAAAACCCAAGCCGCAGGUGCGGUUGGUGCAUCUAUCCGGGUCAAGGCGCGUAAGCCGCCACCCUCACCCCGCUCGCUUGCCGAGCAGGGAAUGCUAUCGCACGGCUGAGGGAACCAACAAAAGCCUCGGGCCGGGUCGCCGUGCCCGAGGCUAUUUAGUUAUAUAUCCUGAUUCA
rnacentral:ncRNA from 1 species